rnacentral:lncRNA from 1 species
UGACGUGGCCAGCGCAUAACACACGACAACAAUACAUGUCUUAUUUGUGAGCCUCAUAAGCUACAGGUAACGUCUAGAGUAAAGGGCUUGUUAUGAAGCGUAGUUCUAUAUAUUAGAUAGGGCGUUUAUGCACUUAUAGAAAUGCAUUCUAACAUUAUCCAGAAAAAGAAAUGCAUUAUAAAGAAGGCAGUUUUUUUUGCAUAUAAUAAUUCUCUUAAGUUUCCGCCAUGUCGUCAGUGAAAAACAUGUAACUUGACUUCUUUGGCCAAGUCUCUGGUCUCCGGACAAACAUCCACAAAAGCCAGUUGGCGCCAAUCUACUGUACUGAUGAGCAGAUUUCCAGAAUCCGGGACAUUCUCCCUGCACAGAUUGCUACCUUCCCC